UUAAUUACGAUAAUAGAGAAGAGUAGAUAAUGCUGAAGUCUUUAGCGAGUUAGGGAUAGUGAAAGCCUAGUGGCUAAGAUAUUAUUGAAUAUCAUCUCUUAGUAGUUAACCUGAAAUCAUUAGUAAGGUUUAACCGGUUGCAGCCGUUAUUUGUUUUAGAGAUAAAAAUAUUAAUUCUUUUUUAUAAUUAGUAUUUUUAAAUAGGGUGGUACCGCAAGUUAAUCCUUGCCCCUGAC
rnacentral:ncRNA from 1 species